UGAAUACGAGACGCUAAGGCGUUGAAGUAGUGUAUGUCAUACUUCCAAGAAAAGCUUGCACUGUCAUAGAUAAAAAACGCCUGUACCAUAACCGACACAGGUGGGUAGGUAGAGUAUACUAAGGGGCGCGAGAUAACUCUCUCUAAGGAACUCGGCAAAAUAACUCCGUAACUUCGGGAGAAGGAGUGCCUUAUUUAUAAGGCUGCAAUAACAAGAUCCAAGCAACUGUUUAUCAAAAACACAGGUCUCCGCUAAGUCGUAAGACGAUGUAUGGGGGCUGACGCCUGCCCAGUGCCAGAAGGUUAAAGAAGUUGGUUAGCAAUAGCGAAGCUGAUAACUGAAGCCCUGGUGAACGGCGGCCGUAACGAUAACGGUCCUAAGGUAGCGAAAUUCCUUGUCGGGUAAGUUCCGACCCGCACGAAAGGCGUAAUGAUUUGGAUACUGUCUCGGAGAGGGGCUCGGUGAAAUAGACUUGUCUGUGAAGAUGCGGACUACCUGCACCAGGACAGAAAGACCCUAUGAAGCUUUACUGUAACUUGAAAUUGAAAUUGGACUUUAUUCGCGCAGUAUAGGUGGGAGGCGUUGAUUGUAAUCUUGCGGGAUUAUUGGAGCCAUCAGUGAGAUACCACCCUUGUAAUGUUAGAUUUCUAACUUUGAAUCAUUAUCUGGUCAAAGAACAGUUUCAGGCGGGCAGUUUGACUGGGGCGGUCGCCUCCUAAACGGUAACGGAGGCGUACAAAGGUUUCCUCUGAACGGUUAGAAAUCGUAUCUAGAAUGUAAAGGCAUAAGGAAGCUUGACUGUGAGACCUACAAGUCGAGCAGGGACGAAAGUCGGUCUUAGUGAUCUGACGGUACUGAGUGGAAAGGCCGUCACUCAACGGAUAAAAGUUACUCUAAGGAUAACAGGCUGAUCUCCCCCAAGAGUUCACAUCGACGGGGAGGUUUGGCACCUCGAUGUCGGCUCAUCGCAUCCUGGGGCGGUAGUACGUCCCAAGGGUUGGGCUGUUCGCCCAUGAAAGCGGUACGCGAGCUGGGUUCAGAACGUCGUGAGACAGUUCGGUCCAUAUCCGGUGUAGGCGUUAGAAUAUUGAGAGGAGCCUUCUUUAGUACGAGAGGACCGAGAAGGACAUACCUCUGGUGUACCAGUUAUCGUGCCAACGGUAAACGCUGGGUAGCUAUGUAUGGAGUGGAUAACCGCUGAAAGCAUCUAAGUGGGAAGCCCACCUCAAGAUAAGUA
rnacentral:rRNA from 1 species